GACAACAAACACACAACAGCUGUUUGAGCAGCGCGCUGGUUUUGAGCAGUGACCUAGCUCUCUUAUGUGUCUCGAGAUUAGCUUCUUACCUUACGUGGCAAAGUUAAAGUUUCGAAAAUUUUCACUCUAUAUGAGGAAUAAUCUAAAGUAGUGUAUGCUGCAAACUGUAUUGUUAUCAAAACGGGUAAUUUUUUUAAGUUGUAACAACCAAAACAAAUCAGAAACAUAAAUGGUGUGAUAGAAGUUUUGUUUGGGUGCCAUGGCUCGUCAUUCUUUAACAUGUUGAGCAUGAAAAUCCAUGCUCCUGAAUGAAAAUGAUCUUACAGCCGAUUUGCGGUGACUGACGAUAUUGGUGUCUUAUUGUUUAGAGAUUGUACAACUAAAUACAACCAGUAUAGCAUCCAGGUGGGGUUUGUCUUGAACGUGACUUAAAAUGGGAAAUCCUGUUGGGUAAUUAAUUCAUAGUUUUCUAAAAGUCACCUGCAACUAACAAGGAACAGUUUGCUUUAAAAUACUCCACAUUCAAGGUAGCCACCGGGGUUCAAAUCUUCGAAUCUGGUUGUAUUGGCACAAGUUGCUCCAUUUGUAGCCUUGAGAAGAUUUGGAUUGUCACGAAUAAGCCACGCUAGUCCACAGUCACAAGAAAAGGGAUCUAAUGAUUUUGUGACAUAAGGGUUUAAUCUUUUGUGUAAACAUAACAUAUUUUGGCUUGUAAUGCUUUCUUACUGUUUGCAAGAUUGAUAGUGCCAGUGGAAUUUGCAAUGCCAGCCAUCUGGGUCAAAAUGGGCUUGAAAACCAAUGAAUCAAAGGAAACAAGA
rnacentral:lncRNA from 1 species